UUAGUGGCGGACGGGUGAGUAACGCGUGGAAAACCUGCCGUAUACUGGGGGAUAACACUUAGAAAUAGGUGCUAAUACCGCAUAAGCGCACAGCUUCGCAUGGAGCGGUGUGAAAAACUCUGGUGGUAUACGAUGGUUCCGCGUCUGAUUAGCUAGUUGGUGGGGUAAUGGCCUACCAAGGCAACGAUCAGUAGCCGGCCUGAGAGGGUGAACGGCCACAUUGGGACUGAGACACGGCCCAAACUCCUACGGGAGGCAGCAG
rnacentral:rRNA from 1 species